UACAGGGGGUGCAAGCGUUAAUCGGAAUUACUGGGCGUAAAGCGUGCGUAGGUGGUUCACUAAGUCAGAUGUGAAAUCCUUGGGCUCAACCUGAGAAUUGCGUUUGAUACUGGCGAACUCGAGUGUGGUAGAGGGUGGUGGAAUUCCCGGUGUAGCGGUGAAAUGCUUAGAUAUCGGGAGGAACAUCAGUGGCGAAGGCGGCCACCUGGACCAACACUGACACUGAGGCACGAAAGCGUGGGUAGCAAACAGG
rnacentral:rRNA from 1 species